UUCUCUAGGAGAGUUUCCAUUUCUGGUUUCUCCUCUUCAAUUGCUGGUUUGUCAUGUUUCUCUUCAACAGCUAUCUCUUCAGAGGUCUCUUCAACCAUUGGUUCUUCAGGUUUCUCUUCAAGUGGUAGUUCAGGUGUUUCCUCCCCUGCUAGCUCUUCAGGUGUUUCUUUAGUUGUUGGUUCUUCAAGUUUCUCUUCAACAGUUGGUUCUUUAGGUUUCUCCUCAACUGGUUCUUCAGAUUUCUCCUCAAUUGUUGGUUCUUCAGGUUUCUCCAUAAUUGCUGGUAUAUCAAGUUUCUCUUCAAUAACCGGUUUUUCCACAGCUGCUGGUUUUUCAGGGUUUUUCUCAUCUUCUAGAAAGUGAGCAGCAUUGUUGCUAGUAUUGCAGGGAAUUUUAUUGUCAGUUUUUUCCUUCGAGUCUGCAACUAGCAAAUUCUGUAAGAAGAAUUUAAAGUUUCACUUAGUCUUUCAGUAGAUAAGCAGAUGUAAAUUGUUGUACAUACAUAACUAAUAGGACAGAUAAACUUUAUGACAGUGCUUGACCCUUGCCUUAUCCAAAAGAGUUACCUUUUCUGGUUUCUCCUCUUCACCUGUUGGUUCUUCAGGUUUCACCUCUUCAACUGCUGGCUCUUCAGGUUUUUCUUCACAUGCUAGUUCAUUAGGUGUUUCUUCCCGUGUUGAUUCUUUGGGUGUCUCUUCAGUUAUUGUCUUUUCAGGUUUCUCUUCAACCUUUGGUUCUUCAAGUUUCUCCUCUGCCAAUGGUUCUUCAAAUUUCUCCUCCACAGUUGGUUUUUCACGUUCUUCUUCAACUGCCAGUUCUUCAAGUUUUUUCUCAACCGCUGGUUCUUCAGGCUUCUCCAUAACAGCCAAUACUUCAGAUUUUUCUUCAAUCAUUGUUUCAUCAUUAUCUUUUUCAACUACUAGUUCUUGAGGUUUUUCCUCGACUGAUUCAUAGUCAGCAAUAUCAUUGUUGGUAUUGCAAGGAAUUGCAUUAUCUAUCUUGUCCUUUGGGUCUUCCAUUGGAAAAUUCUGCAAGAAAUUUAGAGUUCUACUUAGUAUUUAAAUAGAUAAACAUAUGUAAAUUCGUUGCACAUAUAAAGCCUAAUUUGAUGAAUAAACUUUGUGACAAUGUUUAAUCCUGACCUUCUCUAGAAGAGCUUCUGUUUCAGGUUUCUCCUCUUCAACAAUUAGUUCUUUAGGUGUCUUUUCAACCGUUGGUUCUUCAGUUUUCUCUUCAAGUGCUAAUUCUUCAGGUGUUUCCUCCCCUUCUAGCUCUUCAGGUGUUUCUUCAGCCGCUGGUUCUUGAGGUUCCUCCUCAACCACUGGUUCUUCAGGUUUCUCCUUAACCGCUGGUACAUCAAGUUUCUCUUCAAUAGUUGGUUCUUCAGGUUUUUCUUCAACUACUGACUCUUCAAGAUUUUCCUCAACUUGUGGAGGGUGAGCAACAUCAUUAUUGGUAUUGCAUGGAGUUUCACUGCCAGUUUUGUCGUUUGAGUCUACAACUAGCAUAUUCUGCGAAAGAAUUUAAUGUUUCACUUAGUCUAUCAAUGAAGAAGCAGAUGUGAAUCAUUGCACAUACAUAACUAAUAAGAUGGAUAAACUUUGUGACAGUGCUUGACCUCACCUUUUUGGAUGUCUCCUCUUCAAGUGCUGGUUUCUCUUCAAAUAAUAGUUCGUUAGGUGUUUCUUCCCGUUUUGGUUCUUCAGGUGCUUCUUCAGUUAUUGGUUUUGCAGCUUUCUCCUCAAUUGUCUCCUCAACCAAUGGUUCUUCAAGCUUCUCUUCCAUUGUUGUUUCUUUAGGUUUCUCUUCAAUUGCCGGUGGUUCAGGUUUUUUCUCAUCCACUGGUUCUUCUGGCUUCUCUGAAACUGCUGUUUCUUCUGAUUUCUCUUCAAUUGCUUGUUCUUCAUGUUUUUUUUCAACUACUGGCUCUUCAGUUUUUUCCUCAACUGAUGCAUAGUCAGCAAUGUCGUUGGUAUUGCAUGGAAUUGCAUUGUCUGUCUUGUCCUUUGAGUUUACAAUUGGCAAAUUAUGCAAGAAAAUUUUAAGUUUCAUUUAGUCUUUCAACAGAUAAACUUAUGUAAAUUCGUUGCACAUAUAAAGCUAAUAUGAUGGAUAGUUUUUAUGACAGUGUUUAUUUGUCACCUUCUCCUGAAGAGCUUCUGUUUCAGGUUCUUCCUCUUCAAUUGCUGGUUUUUCAUCUUUCUUUUCAACAACUAGUUCUUCAGAUGUGUCUUCAACUGUUGGUUCUUCAGGUUUCUCUUCAAGAGCUAGUUCUUCAGGUGUUUCCUCCCCUGCAAGCUCUUCAGGUGUUUCUAUAGUCGCCGGUUCUUCAGGUUUCUCUGUAAUCUCUAGUUCAGGUUUCUCCUCAACUGGUACUUCAGAUUUCUCCUCAAAUGUUGGUUCUUCAGGUUUCUCCUUAAUAGCUGGUACACCAGGUUUCUCUUCAAUGAGUGGUUCUUCAGUUUUUUCUUCAACUGCCGAUUCUUCAGGAUUUUCCUCACUGUCUGGAGAGUGUGCAACAUCAUUAUUGGUAUUGCAUGGGAUUUCACUGCCAGUUUUUUCGUUCGAGUCUACAAUUAGCAUAUUCUGCAAAAAGAAUUUAAUGUUUCACUUAGCCUUUCAAUAAAGAUGCAGAUGUGAAUCAUAGUACAUACAUAACUAACAAAAUGGAUAAACUUUGUGAUAGUGCUUGACCCUUACCUUUUCCAAAAGAGUUACCUUUUCAGGUUUCUCCUCUUCCAUGGCUGGUUCUUCAUGUAUCUCUUCAAAUGCUAGUUCCUUAGGUGUUUCUUCAAUUACUUGUUUUUCAGGUUUCUCCUCAAUUUUUGGUUCUUUGAUUGUCUCCUCAACUGAUGGUACUUCAAGCUUUUCUCCCACGGUUGGUUUUUCAGGUUUCUCUUCAACUGUCGGUUGUUCAGGUAUUUUCUCAACCGCUGGUUCUUCUGGUUUCCCCGAAACCCUUGAUUCUUCAGAUUUUUCUUCAAUUGCUGAUUCUUCAGAUAUCUCUUCAACUAUUGCUUCUUCAGUUUUUUCCUCAACUGAUGCAUAGUCAGCAAUGUCAUUGUUGGUAUUGCAUGGAAUUGCAUUGUCUAUUGUGUUCUUUGAGUUUACAAUUGGAAAAUUCUGCAAGAAAAUUUAAAGUUUCAUCUAGUCUUUCAAUAGAUAAACAUGUAAAUGCGUUGCACAUAUAAAGCUAAUAUGCUGAAUAAACUUUGUGAGAGUUAAUUCUCACCUUCUCCUUAAGAGCUUCCAUUUCAGGUUCCUCCUCUUCAAUUGCUGUUUUUUCAACUUUCUCUUCAACAACUAGCUCUUCAGAUGUAUCUUCAACCGUUGGUUCUUCAGGUUUCUCUUCAAGUGCUAGUUCUUCAGGUGUUUCUAUUGCUGCCGGUUCUUGAGGUUUCUCUUCAGUCUCUGGUUCUUGAGGUUUCUCCUCAGCUGGUACUUCAGAUUUCUCCUCAAAUGUUGGUUUCUCCUCAACUGCUGGUACAUCAGGUUUCUCUUCAAUGACUAGUUCUUCAUUUUUUAUUUCAACUGCCGGUUCUUCAGAAUUUUCCUCAAUGUCUGGAGAGUGAGCAACAUCAUUAUUGGUAUUGCAUGGAAUUUCACUGCCAGUUUUGGUGUUCGAGUCUACAAUUAGCAUAUUCUGCAAAAAGACUUUAAUGUUUCACUUAGCCUUUCAAAAGAAGAGCAUGUGAAUCACUGUACAUGCAUAACUAACAAAAUGGAUAUACUUUGUGAUAGUACUUGACCCUUACCUUUUCCAAAAGAGUUACCUUUUCAGGUUUCUCCUCUUUCAUUGCUGGCUCUUUAUGUAUCUCUUCUAAUGCUAGUUCCUUGGGUGUUUCUUCAGUUACUUGUUUAUCAGGUUUCUCCUCAAUUUUUGGUUCUUUGAUCGUCUCCUCAACUGAUGGUUCUUCAAGCUUUUCUCCCACUGUUGGUGUUUCAGGUUUCUCUUCGAUUGUCGGUUGUUCAGGUAUUUUCUCAACCGGUGGUUCUUCUGGUUUCUCCAAAACCCUUGAUUCUUCAGAUUUCUCUUCAAUAGCUGAUUCUUCAGAUAUCUCUUCAACUUCUGGUUCUUCAGUAUUUUCCUCAACUGAUGCAUAGUCAGCAAUGUCAUUGUUGGUAUUGCAUGGAAUUGCAUUGUCUGUUGUGUUCUUUGAGUUUACAAUUGGCAAAUUCUGCAAGAAAAUUUGAAGUUCCAUUUAGUCUUUCAAUAGAUGAAACAUAUUUAAAUUCAUUGCACUUAUAAAGUUAAUAUGCUGAAUAAACUUUGUGACAGUGUUAAUUGUCACCUUCUCCUGAAGAGCUUCCGUUUCAGGUUCCUCCUCUUCAAUUGCUGGUUUUUCAUCUUUCUCUUCAACAACUAGCCCUUCAGAUGUAUCUUCAACUGUUAGUUCUUCAGGUUUCCCUUCAAGUGCUAGUUCUUCAGCUGUUUCUAUAGCUGCUGGUUUUUCAGGUUUCUCUUCAGUUGCCGGUUCUUGAGGUUUCUCCUCAGCUGGUACUUCAGAUUUCUCCUCAAAUUUUGGUUCUUCAGGUUUCUCCUCAACUGCUGGUACAUCAGGUUUCUCUUCAAUGACUGGUUCUUCAUUUUUUAUUUCAACUGCCGAUUCUUCAGGAUUUUCCUCGAUGUCUGGAGAGUGAGCAACAUCAUUAUUGGUAUUGCAUGGAAUUUCACUGCCAGUUUUGGUGUUCGAGUCUACAAUUAGCAUAUCCUGCAAAAAGAAUUUAAUGUUUCACCUAGCCUUUCAAAAAAAGAUCAUGUGAAUCACAGUACAUGCAUAACUAACAAAAUGGAUAAACUUUGUUAUUAUACUUGACCCUUACCUUUUCCGAAAGAGUUACCUUUUCAUGUUUCUCCUCUUCAACGGUUGGUUCGUCAUGUUUCUCUUCAAAUGAUAGUUCCUUAGGUGUUCCUUCAGGUUUCUCCUCAAUUGUUGGUUCUUUGGUUGUCUCUCCAACCAAUGGUUCUUCAAGCUUUUCUCCUCCAACUGUUGGGUUUUCAGGUUUCUCUUCAAUUGUCGGCUGUUUAGGUAUUUUCUCAACCUCUGGUUCUUCUGGUUUCUCCAAAACCCUUGAUUCUUCAGACUUCUCUUCAAUAGCUGAUUCUUCAGAUUUCUCUUCAACUACUGGUUCUUCAGUUUUUUCCUCAACUAAUGCAUAGUUAGCAAUGUCAUUGUUGGUAUUGCAUGGAAUUGCAUUGUCUGUAUUGUCCUCUGCGUUUACAAUCGGCAAUUUCUGCAAGAAAAUUUAAAGUUUCAUUUUGUCUUUAAAUAGAUAAACAUAUAUUAAUUCGUUGCACAUAUAAAGCUUAUAUGGUGGAUUAACUUUGUGACAGUAUUUAAUCCUCACCUUCUCCUGAAGAGCUUUCCUAACAAGUUCCUCCUCUUCAAUAGCUGUUUCUUCAUCUUUCUCUUCAAGAACUAGUUCUUCAGGUGUCUCUUCAAGUGCUAGUUCUUCAGGUGCUUCCUCCUUUGCUAGCUCUUCAGCUGUUUCUUUAGCUGCCGCUUCUUCAGGUCUCUCUUUAGACGCCGGUUCUUGAGGUUUCUCCUCAACCAGUACUUCAGAUUUCUCCUCAAAUGUUGGUUCUUCAGGUUUCUCCUUAACUGCUGGUACAUCAGGUUUCUGUUCAAUGACUGAUUCUUCAGUUUUUUCUUCAACUGCCGACACUUCAGGAUUUUCCUCAAUGUCUGGAAAGUGAGCAACAUCAUUACCGGUAUUGCAUGGAAUUUCACUACCAGUUUUGUCGUUCAAGUCUACAAUUAGCAUAGUCUGCAAAAUGAAGUGAAUGUUUACUUUGCCUUCCAAUAAAGAAGCAGAUGUGAAUCACAGUACAUACAUGACUUAAACUUUGUGAUAGUGCUUGACCCUUACUUUUUCAGGUUUCUCCUCUUCAACGGCUGGUUCUUCAUGUUUCUCUCCAACUGCUGGUUUUUCAGGUUUCUCUUCAACUGUCGGUUGUUCAGUUUUUUUCUCAACCACUAGUUCUUCAAGCUUCUCCGAAACAACUGAUUCUUCAGAUUUAUCUUCAAUUGCUAAUUCUUCAUGUGUUUUUCCAACUACUGGUUCGUUAGGUUUUUCCUCAACUGAUGCAUAGUUAGCAAUAUCAUUAUUGGUGGUAUUGCAUGGAAUUGCAUCGUCUAUCUUGUCCUUUGAGUCUACAAUUGGCAAAUUCUGCAAGAAAAUUGAAGUUUCACUUAGUCUUUUGACAGAUAAACAGAUGUAAAUUCAUUGCACAUAUAAAGCUAAUAUGAUGGAUAGACUUUGUGGUAGUGUUUAAUCUUCACCUUCUCCAGAAGCCCUUCUGUUAAAGGUUUCUCCUCCUCCAUUACUGCUGGUUUUUCAGGUAUGUCUUCAACCAUUGGUUCUUCAGGUUUCUCUUCAAAUGCUAGUUCUUCAUGUGUUUCCUCCCCUGCUAGCUCUUCAUGUGUUUCUUUCGCUGUCGGUUCCUUAGGUUUCUUUUCAGCCGCUGGUUCUUCAGGUUUCUCCUCAACCGUUGGUUCUUCAGGUUUCUCUUUAAUCUCUGAUACAUCACGUUUCUCUUCAAAAACUGGGUUUUCUGGUUUUUCUUCAACUGCUGGUUCUUCGGUUAUUUUCUCAGUUUUUGGAUAGUGAGCAGCAUCGUUGUUGGUAUUGCAUGGAAUUUCACUAUCAGUGUUGUCCUUAGAGUCUACAACUAGCAUUUUCUGCAAGAAGAAUUUAAAGUUUCUCUUAGUCUUUCAAGAGAUAACCAGACAUGAAUUGUUGGACAUACAUAACUAAUAGGAUGGAUAAACUUCUUGAUAAUACUUGACCCUCACCUUUUCCAAAAGAGAUACUUUUUUGGGUUUCUCCUCUUCAACUGCUGGUUUCUCUUCAAAUGCUAGUUCAUUUUGUUCCUGUGUUGGUUCUUCAGGUGUUUCUUCAGUUAUUGGGUUUUCAGGUUUCUCUUCAAAUGCUUGUUCAUUUGGUGUUUCUUCCUGUGUUGGUUCUUCAGGUGCUUCUUCAGUUACUGGUUUUUCAGGUUUAUCUUCAACUGCUGGUUCUUCUAGUGUCUCCUCAAUCGAUGGUUCUUCAAGUUCCUCUCUUGCUACUGGUUUUUCAGAUUUCUCUUCAACUGCUGGUUGUUCAGGUUUUUUCAUAACCACUGACUCUUCAGAUCUCUCUUCAAUUGCUGGUUCUUCAGUUUUUUCCUCAACUGAUUCAUAAUCGGCAAUAGCAUUGUUGGUAAUGCAUUGAAUUGCAUUGUCUGUCUUGUUCUUUGACUUUUCAAUUGGUGAAUUCUGCAAAAAUAAAUAAAUUGAAGUUUCAUUUAGUCUUUCAAUGGAUAAAACAGAUGUAAAUUCGUUACGCAUAUAAAGCUAAUAUGAUGGAUAAACUUUGUGAAAGUGUUUAAUCCUCACAUUCUCCUGAAGAGCUUCCGUUUCAGGUUUCUCCUCUUCAAUUGCUUUCUUUUCAGCUUUCUCUUCAACAUCUAGUUCUUCAAGUGUCUCUUCAACGGUUGGUUCUCUAGGUUUCUCUUCAAGGGCUAGCUCUUCAGGCAUUUCCUCCUCUGCUAGUUCUUCAGGUGUUUCUUUAGCUGUUGGUUCUUCAGGUUUCUCUCCAGCCUCUGGUUUUCGAGUUUUCUCCUCAAAUGAUUCUUCAGAUUUUUCCUCAACCUUUGGUUCUUCACGUUUCUCCCUAACCAUUGGUAAAUCAGGUUUCUCUAGUUUUUCAGGUUUUUCUUCAACUGCUGGUUCCUCAAAUUCUGCAAAGUUAGCAGCAUCAUUGUUGGUAUUGCAUGGAAGUUCAUUCUCACUUUUGUCGUUUGAGUCUACAACUUGUAUUUUCU
rnacentral:lncRNA from 1 species